UUUUUGUUUUUCUCUCUUUACCACCUCGACCUACACUCUUCCUCACUCUACCCAUUCUCAUUUUUCUUUUUCUCCUUCCUAUUUUUCCAUUAUACAAACAGUUUUCAUCCAUACCUUAUCCAUUUUGAUAGUAAUGAGUGGGGUAACAAGAAAAGGUGAACCAGUCAUAUGACAUAGCACAGUAGUCUCCUUGGCACCCAUGACAGCAAAAAUUAAGUAAAUAAUCGAUCGUCUAUUUUGCGCCAAUAUCUGAGGUU
rnacentral:lncRNA from 1 species